ensembl:lncRNA
GAAAGAUAAGAUUGUUAUUGUGUAAUACUAUGUAGGCUAUACCAGGGGUUGAAAGAUAAGAUUGUUAUUGUGUAAUACUAUGUAGGCUAUACCAGGGGUUGAAAGAUAAGAUUGUUAUUGUGUAAUACUAUGUAAAUACUAUGUAGGCUAUACCAGGGGUUGAAAGAUAAGAUUGUUAUUGUGUAAUACUAUGUAAAUACUAUGUAGGCUAUACCAGGGGUUGAAAGAUAAGAUUGUUAUUGUGUAAUACUAUGUAGGCUAUACCAGGGGUUGAAAGAUAAGAUUGUUAUUGUGUAAUACUAUGUAGGCUAUACCAGGGGUUGAAAGAUAAGAUUGUUAUUGUGUAAUACUAUGAAGGCUAUACCAGGGGUUGAAAGAUAAGAUUGUUAUUGUGUAAUACUAUGUAGGCUAUACCAGGGGUUGAAAGAUAAGAUUGUUAUUGUGUAAUACUAUGUAGGCUAUACCAGGGGUUGAAAGAUAAGAUUGUUAUUGUGUAAUACUA